rnacentral:rRNA from 1 species
GUAUUAGCCAUCAACCUUUCCUCCUCGCUGAAAGUGCUUUACAACCCGAAGGCCUUCUUCACACACGCGGCAUGGCUGCAUCAGGGUUUCCCCCAUUGUGCAAUAUUCCCCACUGCUGCCUCCCGUAGGAGUCUGGACCGUGUCUCAGUUCCAGUGUGGCUGAUCAUCCUCUCAGACCAGCUAGGGAUCGUCGCCUUGGUGAGCCAUUACCUCACCAACUAGCUAAUCCCACCUGGGCAUAUCCAAUCGCGCAAGGCCCGAAGGUCCCCUGCUUUCCCCCGUAGGGCGUAUGCGGUAUUAGCAGUCGUUUCCAACUGUUAUCCCCCUCGACUGGGCAAUUUCCCAGGCAUUACUCACCCGUCCGCCGCUCGCCGGCAAAAGUAGCAAGCUACUUUCCCGCUGCCGCUCGACUUGCAUGUGUUAGGCCUGCCGCCAGCGU